rnacentral:lncRNA from 1 species
AAAAACCUCUGAAAUUCUUCCCAGUCCUCUGAGCUCCGGCCCUAGGCCGGUCUGCUCCGUUCAUCGGACCUCCAUGCUCAGCCCCACGCACCGUCACCAACUCCGCCACACACAGUGGUCGGGAUCUGAAAAGCUUUACUUUUCUCGGCAAAUCUAAAAGGUACUUCUUUCUCCUCUGUUUUUCAAUGUAUUAUAUGCAGAUUGCUUGCAAUAAAAUAAAAAAAUAUAAAAGUAGAAAGAGAACAAUAGAUCACCUUCGUUUCUCGUGAAAUCUUUAUGGUAUAUUAUUGCAAAAAUAUUUGGUGUACAAUAUCUUUGUGGUGUAUCUCUGGUGUUUUUCUUUGUGUGUGUGUGUAAAAAUCUUUGCGUGUGUAAGUGUGUAAAUCUCUGCCUAUGUGUGUAAAAAACGUAAGUCUCCCCCCCUCUUUACAGGUUUGAAAAAGGCUUUAUAGCCUGGAAGCUGUUCUGUUUUGGAAAGAAAUCUUAAAUUUCUUUCCAUAUCUGUUUAGGUCUAUCCACUGAUUUUAUUUGUUUUGAUUUCUUUCCAUUUCUUGCAGGUGACCGCAAAAAUCACGGUGGUUGCUGGCGUGGACUCAUGCUGACGAUGAUUCGGCACGAUUGGUGGAAAUGGCCCUAACACGGUGCUGAAAUUUCGAUCCACUGGUGGAGGCGUGAUCGGUGGCCGAGCUGAAAGGUCGUGGUGCAUUGAAGGGCCUGUGACAAUACAUUGAUGACCUGAGGCAGAUCAUUGAUAGCCGUCUCGAUUUUGGGGAACUGGACAGACGCUCCCCGAAUCUUCCAGAAGCAGUGGCGGCUCGAGGAGAAAAAAGGCAGAAACCCUAGGGUUUCUUGCCUUGGUGUAAUAGGCUGGGCUAGUUGGGCCGCUUUAGUCCUGGGCUAAUUGUAUAACAGGUUUAAGUUUGGGUUUGAAAAUUAUUGGGCUGAGUGGGUAAUGGUCUGAGGUUUUAAGUAUUUGGGCCACAAACACUUGGGCUUUUG